rnacentral:rRNA from 1 species
GAAUUCAGUGAAUCAUCGAAUCUUUGAACGCACAUUGCGCCCUCCGGUAUUCCGGGGGGCAUGCCUGUUCGAGCGUCAUUACAACCCUCAAGCUCUGCUUGGUGUUGAGCCCGCCCCGGCCUGCCCGGGGCUCGCUUCAAAGUCAGUGGCGGCCGCCGUCCGACCUUCAGCGCAGUAAUGCUCGCCGCUGUUAGGGAAGGGUAGCCAGGGCCGUCAGACAACCCCCACACACAAGGUUGACCUCGGAUCAGGUAGGGAUACCCGCUGAACUUAAGCAUAUCAAUAAGCGGAGGAAAAGAAACCAACAGGGAUUGCCUCAGUAACGGCGAGUGAAGCGGCAACAGCUCAAAUUUGAAAGCUGGCUCCUUCGGGGCCCGCGUUGUAAUUUGUAGAGGAUGCUUCGGGCGCGGCGCCGGUCUAAGUUCUCUGGAACGAGACGUCAUAGAGGGUGAGAAUCCCGUAUGUGACUGGCCGCCUGUGCCCAUGUGAAGCUCCUUCGACGAGUCGAGUUGUUUGGGAAUGCAGCUCAAAAUGGGAGGUGUACUCCUUCUAAAGCUAAAUAUUGGCCAGAGACCGAUAGCGCACAAGUAGAGUGAUCGAAAGAUGAAAAGCACUUUGGAAAGAGAGUUAAACAGUACGUGAAAUUGUUGAAAGGGAAGCGCUUGCAAUCAGACUUGCGCGGCGUCGAUCAGCCUGGGUUCUCCCUGGUGCACUCGGCGCCGCUCAGGCCAGCAUCAGUUUCGGCGGUGGGAUAAAGGCCUAGGGAACGUGGGUCCCCUCGGGGACCGUUAUAGCCCUAGGUGCAAUGCCGCCUGCCGGGACUGAGGACCGCGCU